ACUCCUUAUGAUCUUUACAUUUGAACAGUUAAUGUGAAUAAUUGCAGUUGUCCACAACCCUAUCACUUCUAGGACCAUUAUACCUCUUUUGCAUUACUGUGGGGUAUACUGUUUCCCUCCAAGGCCCCUUCUGGUGGACUAUCAACAUAUAAUUGAAAUUUUCUUUUGUCUUUGUCAGUAGAUUAAGGUCAUACCCCAUCACCUUUCCUUUGUAGUACAACAGGGUGUCCUGAUCAACCAAAGUCCUGUUGUUUUGGACUGUUAAUAUGUGCAAUUACAUUUGCUCCUGAUCUGUGCACUAGAUAAGGAUCCUACCUACUUUCUUAGUGUUUUUAGCAGGUAGUGCCCACUACUCAAGACUGUCACUUGGAAUGUUCAUGUGCACAAACUCAAUUCUCUAAGCAUGUUCCUGUACCACCUUUGCUUUAGAGCAGGGGGAUGAUAUUCACUAAGUGCCCCUUCUUUUGGACUUAAUAUGCAUUAAUGCAAUUGUCCACCUCUUCUUUUAGACUAAGAGUUGAUCUCCACAUAUUCCCCUUGCAUCAGGGGCAUGUUAAUUAUGAAUGAACCCUUUUCUUUUAAUAUUAAUGUCAUAAUUGUAUUUGUGGACCUGUGUAGGAGAAAAAGACCCUAUGUUCCUCCCAUUACCCUUUGGAUUGCUGCUGAGAAGUGUUAACUACUCAUAAUCUCAGCUCUUGGACAAUUAAUAGCAUUAAUAACAAUUAUCAAGGGCACUGAUCAUUAGAUAAGACUCCUGCUUCCUCGUUGCUUACAUCGGGGGUACUGACCCACUAAGGCCCCUUGUACUGUUAAUGUGAAUAUUUGCAAUUAUAUAUGUCUCCUUCUGGUAGAGUGGGAUAUUAUGCCCUAGUAUCCCCUUUGCAUUACUGCAGGGGCUGCUGACUACUCAAAACUUCUCCUGGGACUGUUAAUAGGCACAAUGGCAGUUAUCAAUGGUUUUCUCCCUCCCUGACCUUGUUAAGCAAGCGCCCCACCCCACCCUUAGUUUCCCAUGGCAUAAUAAAGUAUAAGCAUUGGAGUAUUCCAUGCACUUGUCUAUCAAACAGUGGUCCAUACUCCCAACCCUUUUGCAUUGCGCCAGUGUGUAAAAUCACAGGUAGCCAUGGUGUCAUGCUUUAUAUACGAAGUCUUCCCUCUCUCUGCCCCUUGUGUGCCCUUGGCCCCUUUUUACAGACUAUUGCUCACAAUCUCAGGUGUCCAUAUUUGCAGCUAUUAGGUAAGAUUGUGCUGUCUCCCUCUUCCCUUCCCUCUGCCCUGCCCCUUUUGCCUCUUUGCUGGGUAAUGUUGACCAGACAAGGCCCUUUCUCUUGGACUUAAACAAUUCUCAGUUGCACUUUCCUUGGUCCCACCCAUUAUACAUGAACCCCUCUACUUCCUUUCGCAUUGCUUCUGAGUAUGCUGACUACCCAAAGCCCCUUCUGUGUUAUUAAUAAACACAGUACUGAUUGUCCCAUUUUUCAGCCCAUCAGUCCAAGAUCUCCCUACCACUUUGGUGUGUUGGUGCAGUGUUGACUAUGAAAAGCAGGCCUGAACUAGGUGGAUAAGCCUUCACUCAUUUUCUUUCAUUUAUUAAUGAUCCUAGUUUCAAUUAUUGUCAGAUUCUGGGGACAAGAACCAUUCUUGCCCACCUGUGUUACUGCUUUACUGUGCAAAAUACUGAAGGCAAGUCAGACCCAGGGAGCUGGAUUGCCAUCCUUUAUUUUGUGUUUCCAGUGUACACUAUAAAAUUGUCUCCCCAGGAAGGAAGGUUGGCACUUUCUCUGCAUUCUUCUUUCCAGAGCAGAUUGCCUGGUUAAGAAUCUCUUGUUGUCCCCUUUGUAUAUUGUUAUUGUAAAGUGCCAAAUGCCAGGAUACAGCCAGAAAAAUUGCUUAUUAUUAUUAAAAAAAUUUUUUUAAGAAAGACAUCUGGAUUGUAGGGUGGACUCGAUAACCUGGUCAUUAUUUUUUUGAAGCCAAAAUAUCCAUUUAUACUAUGUACCUGGUGACCAGUGUCUCUCAUUUUAACUGAGGGUGGUGGGUCUGUGGAUAGAACACUGACUCUUGCUAUUUUAAUAUCAAAGAUAUUCUAGAGUGGAACUCUUAAGACCAGUAUCUUUGUGUGGGCUUUACCAGCAUUCACUUUUAGAAAAACUACCUAAAUUUUAUAAUCCUUUAAUUUCUUCAUCUGGAGCACCUGCCCCUACUUAUUUCAAGAAGAUUGCAGUAAAACGAUUAAAUGAGGGAACAUAUGCAGAGGUGCUUUUAAAAAGCAUAUGCCACCUUUUUUAUUAAUUAUUAUAUAAAAUGAAGCAUUUAAUUAUAGUAAUAAUUUGAAGUAGUUUGAAGUACCACACUGAGGUGAGGACUUAAAAAUGAUAAGACGAGUUCCCUAUUUUAUAAGAAAAAUAAGCCAAAAUUAAAUAUUCUUUUGGAUAUAAAUUUCAACAGUGAGAUAGCUGCCUAGUGGAAAUGAAUAAUAUCCCAGCCACUAGUGUACAGGGUGUUUUGUGGCACAGGAUUAUGUAAUAUGGAACUGCUCAAGCAAAUAACUAGUCAUCACAACAGCAGUUCUUUGUAAUAACUGAAAAAGAAUAUUGUUUCUCGGAGAAGGAUGUCAAAAGAUCGGCCCAGCUCAGGGAGCAGUUUGCCCUACUAGCUCCUCGGACAGCUGUAAAGAAGAGUCUCUGGCUCUUUAGAAUACUGAUCCCAUUGAAGAUACCACGCUGCAUGUGUCCUUAGUAGUCAUGUCUCCUUAGGCUCCUCUUGAUCUUCCUCAGAAGAAUAGGCUUGUUGUUUUACAGUGUUAGUGAUCCAUUCCCUUUGACGAUCCCUAGGUGGAGAUGGGGCAUGAGGAUCCUCCAGGGGAAAAGCUCACUACCACUGGGCAACAACCCUAGGUCAGGAGGUUCUGUCAAGAUACUUUCCUGGUCCCAGAUAGGAAGAUAAAGUCUCAAAAACAACCACCACACGUCAAGCUCUUCAUUGUUCCUAUCUGCCAAAUCAUUAUACUUCCUACAAGCAGUGCAGAGAGCUGAGUCUUCAGCAGGUCCAAGAAAUUUGAACACACUGAAGGAAGUCAGCCUUCCCACCUGAAGAUCAACAUGCCUGGCACUCUAGCACUUGAGGAUAGCUGAAUGAAUGUGUCUUACCCAUUUCCAUGUUUCUCUUGCUAAUUUCUUUCGUGUGUGCCUUUGCCUCAUUUUCUCUUUUUGUUCACAAGAGUGGUCUGUGUCUUGUCUUAGACAUAUCUCUCAUUUUUCAUUUUGUUGCUAUUUCUCUUUGCUCUCCUAGAUGUGGCUCUUCUUUCACGCUUUAUUUCAUGUCUCCUUUUUGGGUCACAUGCUGUGUGCUUUUUGUCCUUUUCUUGUUCUGUCUACCUCUCCUUUCUCUGCCUACCUCUCUUUUCUCUUUGUGAACUGUGAUUAUUUGUUACCCCUUCCCCUUCUCGUUCGUUUUAAAUUUCACCUUUUUUCUGAGUCUGGCCUCCUUUCUGCUGUUUCUACUUUUUAUCUCACAUUUCUCAUUUCUGCAUUUCCUUUCUGCCUCUCUUGGGCUAUUCUCUCUCUCCUCCCCUGCGUGCCUCAGCAUCUCUUGCUGUUUGUGAUUUUCUAUUUCAGUAUUAAUCUCUGUUGGCUUGUAUUUGUUCUCUGCUUCUUCCCUUUCUACUCACCUUUGAGUAUUUCAGCCUCUUCAUGAAUCUAUCUCCCUCUCUUUGAUUUCAUGUAAUCUCUCCUUAAAUAUUUCUUUGCAUAUGUGGGCAAGUGUACGUGUGUGUGUGUCAUGUGUGGCAGAGGGGCUUCCUAACCCCUGCCUGAUAGGUGCAGAACGUCGGCUAUCAGAGCAAGCAUUGUGGAGCGGUUCCUUAUGCCAGGCUGCCAUGUGAGAUGAUCCAAGACCAAAACAAGGCCCUAGACUGCAGUAAAACCCAGAACUCAAGUAGGGCAGAAGGUGGAAGGCUCAUAUGGAUAGAAGGCCCAAAGUAUAAGACAGAUGGUUUGAGACUUGAGACCCGAGGACUAAGAUGGAAAGCCCAUGUUCCAAGAUAGAUAGAAGCCUCAGGCCUGAAACCAACAAAAGCCUCAAGAGCCAAGAAAACAGAGGGUGGCCUGAAUUGGACCGAAGGCCUGAGUUGGAUGGAAGUCUCAAGGCUUGAGUUAGAAGUCUUAAGACCUGGGACAGGACACAUGGAAGGCCUAAGAACUGAGACUUGUGACACAAGGCCAACGACCUAAGAUUAGCCCAGGGUUGUAGCUGGAAGACCUACAACCCAAGGAUGGAAGGCCCCUGUCACAAAGCCUACCUAGAUGGAUAGAGGACCCAAGCGAAAAAGGUAUCUCAAGACUAACGGCCGGAAUCUGGAGGCCCAUGACCCAGAACCCAGGAAGGAUAGAAGCUUGAAGACCUGGGGAAAUCCCAAGAUGAGAACCCUAAACCCUACCUCUUUUCUAUUGUUUACACUUCUUACUCUUAGAUAUUUCCAGUUCUCCUGUUUAUCUUUAAGCCUGAUUCUUUUGAGAUGUACUUUUUGAUGUUGCCGGUUACCUUUAGAUUGACAGUAUUAUGCCUGGGCCAGUCUUGAGCCAGCUUUAAAUCACAGCUUUUACCUAUUUGUUAGGCUAUAGUGUUUUGUAAACUUCUGUUUCUAUUCACAUCUUCUCCACUUGAGAGAGACACCAAAAUCCAGUCAGUAUCUAAUCUGGCUUUUGUUAACUUCCCUCAGGAGCAGACAUUCAUAUAGGUGAUACUGUAUUUCAGUCCUUUCUUUUGACCCCAGAAGCCCUAGACUGAGAAGAUAAAAUGGUCAGGUUGUUGGGGAAAAAAAAGUGCCAGGCUCUCUAGAGAAAAAUGUGAAGAGAUGCUCCAGGCCAAUGAGAAGAAUUAGACAAGAAAUACACAGAUGUGCCAGACUUCUGAGAAGCACCUGCCAGCAACAGCUUCCUUCUUUGAGCUUAGGUGAGCAGGAUUCUGGGGUUUGGGAUUUCUAGUGAUGGUUAUGGAAAGGGUGACUGUGCCUGGGACAAAGCGAGGUCCCAAGGGGACAGCCUGAACUCCCUGCUCAUAGUAGUGGCCAAAUAAUUUGGUGGACUGUGCCAACGCUACUCCUGGGUUUAAUACCCAUCUCUAGGCUUAAAGAUGAGAGAACCUGGGACUGUUGAGCAUGUUUAAUACUUUCCUUGAUUUUUUUCUUCCUGUUUAUGUGGGAAGUUGAUUUAAAUGACUGAUAAUGUGUAUGAAAGCACUGUAAAACAUAAGAGAAAAACCAAUUAGUGUAUUGGCAAUCAUGCAGUUAACAUUUGAAAGUGCAGUGUAAAUUGUGAAGCAUUAUGUAAAUCAGGGGUCCACAGUUUUUCUGUAAGGGGUCAAAUCAUAAAUACUUUAGACUGUGGGCCAUAUGGUUUCUGUUACAUAUUUGUUUUUUAAACAACGUUUUUAUAAGGUCAAAAUCAUUCUUAGUUUUUGAGCCAAUUGGAUUUGGCCUGCUGUUCAUAGCUUACCACCCCCUGAUGUAUUAUUUGUUAUUCAGAGAAAAUUUCUGAAUACUACUAGUUUCCUUUUCUGUGCCUGUCCCUGUGCUAGGCACUAAAAAUGCAAUGAUUAUUGAUAUCUAGGUGACCUGAAAAAAAAUAGUGAAUGUGCUUUGUAAACUGUAAAGCACUUGUAUUCUACUGUGAUAAGCGUUGUGGAUACAAAGAAAGGAGCAAGCAUAAAAAAGUGCUCUUUCAAAAGGAUAUAGUACUAUGCAGACACAAGGAAUUGUUUGAUAAAUGAAUAAAUUAUAUGUAUAUUUGAGGCCAAUUUGUGUUUGCUGCUCUGGUAAUUUUGAGUAAAAAUGCAGUAUUCCAGGUAUCAGAAACGAAAACACAUGGAAACUGCUUUUAAACUUUAAAAUAUACUGAAAACAUAAGGGACUAAGCUUGUUGUGGUCACCUAUAAUGUGCCAGAUACCAUGCUGGGUGCUAGAGCUACCAAAGGGGGAAAAGUAUUCUCAUAGAACAAAAAAUUUCAGAAAGGUGCAUAUUAAAGUGCUUUGUAAACUAAAGCAUGAUACAAAUGUCAAUGGGCUACAUAUUUAUGAAUGAAUGAAUGGAUGAAUGAAUAUUAAGUGCCUCUUACAUACCAGCUAUUUUGGGUACUGUAAAAUACAAGAUUAAUUCUCCUAUGUAAUAAGAGGAAAGUUUAUCCUCUAUACUAUUCAGAUGUAAGGAAUGAUAUAUUGCUUAAUUUUAAACAAUCAAGACUUUACUGGUGAGGUUAAGUUAAAUUAUUACUGAUACAUUUUUCCAGGUAACCAGGAAAGAGCUAGUAUGAGGAAAUGAAGUAAUAGAUGUGAGAUCCAGACCGAAAGUCACUUAAUUCAGCUUGCGAAUGUGCUUUCUAAAUUAUAAAGCACUUGUAAAUGAAAAAUUUGAUGCUUUCUGUAUGAAUAAAACUUUCUGUAAGCUAGGUAUUGUCUCUACAAAAUUCUCAUUGUAUAGUUAAACCACAGUGAGAAGGGUUCUAUAAGUAGUUAUACAAACCAAGGGUUUAAAUACCUGUUAAAUAGAUCAAUUUUGAUUGCCUACUAUGUGAACUCACUGUUAAAGGCACUGAAAAUUUAUCAUAUUUCAUUUAGCCACAGCCAAAAAUAAGGCAAUACCUAUGUUAGCAUUUUGUGAACUCUAAGGCACCAUAUAAAUGUAACUGUUGAUUUUCUCACUUGGUGCUGGGUACUAGGUUUAUAAAAUUGUAUGAUAGUUAUUAUAUUGUGCAAAUAAAGUAGGAAAAUUUGAAUAACAAUGAUUAUCUUUUGAAUACGCAUACGCAAGGGAUUGGUUGUCUGAAGAAUGCCACUAUAGUAGUUAUCUAUUGUGUGCCAAUCUCAUUGCUAGGCAUUGGGGAUGCAAAGAUAAACCAUCUUUAUUGUGUCUUGGGUAGCAGAAGAAAAUAUGUGUAAAAUCAAUUUAUAAUUUGUAAACUGCCACCCAUAUAUAAGCUAUAUCUGCUGAAUGAUCAUUGAUUACUCUUAUCCUUAGAGAUAACAACUGGGGGCACAAACAUUUAUUAUCAUUAUUGAACCUACAACAGAGAUCUAUGUGUAGAUUUACAAAGCCUACAGUUCUAUACAGAUAGGAAUGAACUAUUGGCUUACUGAAUGGUGAUUACUUUCUGUGGGGCUCGGAACUACAUGCCCUAGGAUAUAAAAAUGAUGUUAUCAUUAUAGAGUGCUCACAGAAGGAAAUGAAGUAAUAUAGGUGUGAGAUCCAGACCAAAAGUCAUUUAACAAGUUUAUUCAGUGAUGAAAACAUGGGACAAAUGGACUAAUAUAAGGCAGUGUACUAAGCUGAGUAGAGAGAUAAAGUCCUGUCCAGAAGAUACAUGCUUCCUGGCCUGAUUGAGGAGAUGGAAAAUUUUUGCAAAAAACAAGGUGUUGUGGUCUUCCAUCCAGUUUCUUAAGUGCUGAUGAUAAAAGUGAAUUAGACCCACCUUGACCUGGCCUACAGAAGUAAAGGAGUAAAAAUAAAUGCCUCAGGCGUGCUUUUUGAUUCAUUUGAUAAACAAAGCAUCUUUUAUGUGGAAUAUACCAUUCUGGGUCCUGAGGAUAAGAGAGAUGAGGGCAUUAGAUCACUGACAGCUGAAGAUAGAAGAACAUCUUUGGUUUGAUUGUUUAAAUAAUAUUUCAAUGCCUAUUCUCUGCAAGGUACUAUGUUUCGUAAAUUAAAUAGGUCUGGCCCAGAAG
ensembl:lncRNA XIST X inactive specific transcript